UACGAAGGGUGCAAACGUUGCUCGGAAUUAUUGGGCGUAAAGGGCUCGUAGGUGGCCAACUAAGUCAGACGUGAAAUCCCUCGGCUUAACCGGGGAACUGCGUCUGAUACUGGAUGGCUUGAGUUUGGGAGAGGGGUGCGGAAUUCCAGGUGUAGCGGUGAAAUGCGUAGAUAUCUGGAGGAACACCGGUGGCGAAGGCGGCAUCCUGGACCAACACUGACACUGAGGAGCGAAAGCCAGGGGAGCAAACGGG
rnacentral:rRNA from 1 species